AAUGAGACAUUUUUCUUGACCAAUAGAAUGAUUUUUUGGCCUAAAAAAGGAAAAGAUCACUUAUUAUAUGAAUUGGAAAUGUGGACUCCUAUGUGACUAAAUCUGGCCUGCUUCAGACACAGCGUUAGUGAGGACUGAAGAUGAAGAGCCUUUUGUGAGAUGUGCUUUCACACUUAGAUUACAAUGAAAGUGAAAUCCUAUUUCUUACCAGGCUUGCUGACCUGUACUGUGGAUGUAAAACUAAUGCAACCCCGGAACCCUGACUCUGUGGGCCUCUACCCUAUGUCCACCCUCACCUGGUCUACUACUGUAGUCUCUGCCCUGAAAUCCUGGCUUCCAUUCCUGUCUCCCUACAAUCGUCUUCACACAGCAACUGGAACGCUCUUUUUAAAAAGUAAGUCAAAUACUGUUACUCCAGUGCUCUCGGGAAGAGGUCCAACACCAAUUGACCAAUAGGCCUAGAGUUCUGGCUUAAUAGCCAUCAUCUCCACUGUCCUCUGCUGCUUUCACAAGGAUCAUAACUUCGCGUGGAUUUGAAACCGUCUUUGGUUUGGAAACACGACUGCACUGUGGACAUUGCUCACUUACUUACCUCAUCAGGGCAUCGCUGCACGGAUUUGCUCAAAGCCCCGGCGAUGUGGAAAGAGAGCACUGUGUCCGUGGCUGCAGAGUGCUGGGCACCUUCAUUCGGCCCGGCCAGCUGUCACUCUGGACACGGAGGACUCACCUGCAGCAGGUGUCCUUCUUCCGGGUACCAAUUCCAACCUCACCCAAAGGAUUUAAAUAAAACAUUUUUUUCCCAUCACA